rnacentral:rRNA from 1 species
GAUGAACGCUGGCGGCGUGCCUAAUACAUGCAAGUCGAGCGAACGGACGAGAAGCUUGCUUUUCUGAUGUUAGCGGCGGACGGGUGAGUAACACGUGGAUAACCUACCUAUAAGACUGGGAUAACUUCGGGAAACCGGAGCUAAUACCGGAUAAUAUUUUGAACCGCAUGGUUCAAAAGUGAAAGACGGUCUUGCUGUCACUUAUAGAUGGAUCCGCGCUGCAUUAGCUAGUUGGUAAGGUAACGGGUUACCAAGGCAACGAUGCAUAGCCGACCUGAGAGGGUGAUCGGCCACACUGGAACUGAGACACGGUCCAGACUCCUACGGGAGGCAGCAGUAGGGAAUCUUCCGCAAUGGGCGAAAGCCUGACGGAGCAACGCCGCGUGAGUGAUGAAGGUCUUCGGAUCGUAAAACUCUGUUAUUAGGGAAGAACAUAUGUGUAAGUAACUGUGCACAUCUUGACGGUACCUAAUCAGAAAGCCACGGCUAACUACGUG